UACGGAGGAUCCAAGCGUUAUCCGGAUUUAUUGGGUUUAAAGGGUGCGUAGGCGGCUUAUUAAGUCAGUGGUGAAAGCCUUCAGCUCAACUGAAGAACUGCCAUUGAUACUGAUGAGCUUGAGUAUAUUUGAGGCCGGCGGAAUGUGUCAUGUAGCGGUGAAAUGCUUAGAUAUGACACAGAACACCGAUUGCGAAGGCAGCUGGCUAAACUAUAACUGACGCUGAUGCACGAAAGCGUGGGGAGCAAACAGG
rnacentral:rRNA from 1 species